AGUUCAGAAAUCAAUAUUUGGUGGAAUAACCCUGGUUGGUUUUUAAACACAUUUUUUUUUUCAUGCAUCUUGGCAUCAUGUUCUCCUCCACCAGUCUUACACACUGCUUUUGGGUACACCAGGUCAUAUCAUGUGAUUUAGUAUCUGUUAUAAUAAGUGGCUCCGGUUCGUCUCAGAUCACCUAUAGAACUGAUUUGAGUGACUGGUUUAAGUGUGUUUUGGGUUCACUUUUGCACUUUUAUGUGGUUAAUCAGGAUUAUCAUAAUCAGUGUGCGUGAAGUGAUUAGCAUCGUCAUGCACAAACCUUGUAUCUCCAUUUUUGAGAUGCUUUGCUAUUUUUAAUUUAUUGGCAUAAAGUGACUUGUAAUGAUUUCACGAUAAAGGGACCAAUAGAAAUGCUCCAAUGUAAUCUAUGCACAUUUUCUUCUAUUGAAAGUUAAGAUGUUGUUUUUUUCCUGGAGGUUUUUACCUGCAGUGACCUUUUCGUGAGAUUAAAUGAAGCAGAAAGCCCAUUAUUUAUUUAUUCCUACACAAUGCACCUUUAAUUCAGUCCACAUCCCAGCACGGGCUGCACCGAUUGGCUGUGGAGCUGUUGGGGAUGAGGAAGGAAGGAGUUUCUCCUGAGAUUGAGUGUCUUUAAUUUGAUGAAAUUUCAUCGGAUUGUUUAACUUGAUCUCUACGGUUCUGUUCACACCUGGCAUUAACGUGCGUCCGGGUCACCUGAUCUCUAACUAUUGUUUAAAUGUGUCGCCGUUCACACCUUUUGUUUUAAAUGCGUCUCCGGUGUCGGCUCGUGAUCAGAUUCCUGUUAAAAUAAUUCCUAUAUACGUCAUAAUUAGCCCACAUUGAAACAAGGCACCUAGUUUAGCUUGUGCUUAGACCUGUCACAAUAUGAAUGUUUUUGUGGACUAUAUAUUUUUAUCAUUUUAAAACCAUUAAAUGCCAUUAAAAUAAUAGUAAUAACAGAAUAUCAUAAAAAAUCAAUCAUACACUUUUAAAGACAUUAAAAAUUAAAUGAAUCAUCAAAUAAACACAAUAGACGAUGUCACGAUUAUCAAAUAUUAUUGAGGACGAUAAAUCGAUAAUGUAAUUAUUUGGACAGGCCUACUUGUGCUUUAUCCAGCAGUGCGUUAAUGCAGCAGGUUCAUCUAACCACCACGGAUGGUGGACGGUAUUUCAGUUUCCGAAUAAAAAUAUUUAAGUCAUUUAGAGCAUUUAUUUACAGAAAAUGAGAAAUGGCUGAAAUAACAAAAAAGAUGCAGAACUUUCAGACCUCAAAUAAUGCAAAGAAAACAAGUUUUAAGAGUUCAGAAAUAAUCAAUACAUAUAUCAGUUUUCCUGGCAUCAUGUUCUCCUCCACCAGUCUUACACACUGCUUUUGGAUAACUUUAUGCUGCUUUACUCCUGGUGCAAAAAUUCAAGCAGUUCAGUUUGGUGGUUUGAUGAUCUCUUAUCUAAUAUUUUUUUUCCAGAGCUGAAUUUCUUUUUUCUUUUUUUUUUUUAGGGAGGAUUAGGAUUGUGUGUGUGUGUGCGAGUGUGAGUGUGUACAAGCGAAUAUCAUGUAAUGUGUGUGUGUGUGUGUGUGUGUGUGUGGUUUGAAAGUGGUGAACUCAUGUUUACAGUAAUCCUGCUGCACCUUUUUGCACUUCCAUCCCCCUCUGUUUUUGUUUCUGGUGUUUUCAGACGUUCAGACCUCCUGAUUUUUCGUUUCUGUGAUUUGUGUCAUGGUUUUUCCUCUAAAGUUACAGAUAAAGAUCCGGUUUACUCUGAUCCCGUUCUCUGCAUAUAUACACCCUUUGGUAAAGGGGUUUAUCUCUCUGGUUUUAUGAAUCUAAACUGUUACAUAUUUAAACUAAACUCAAUCUGCCAUAUUGAAUAAUCUAUUAUGUGAAACUUGUUUGUAUUUUUUUAAUGUUGAUGUUUUUUCUGAACUGCUGAAUCACCAGCAGCACCCAGUGCCUUAUUCUCUAACAAAGAAAACUCUACUUUUUACAGAAUAUUGUACGUUUUUAAUGCACUGUAAUGUAAUAUACUUUGUAUAAAUAAAUAUAAAUAAAGAAUUAGAUGCAUA